rnacentral:rRNA from 1 species
GAUGAACGCUGGCGGCGUGCAUAACACAUUCAAGUCGAACGGACAAAGAGGGGCUUGCUCCUCUGAGUUAGUGGCGGACGGGUGAGUAACGCGUGAGGAACCUGCCUUUGAGAGUGGAAUAACAACCGGAAACAGUUGCUAAUACCGCAUGAUAUAGUAUCUUGGCAUCAAGAAACUAUCAAAGAUUUAUCGCUCAAAGAUGGCCUCGCGUCUGAUUAGGUAGUUGGUGAGGUAACGGCUCACCAAGCCGACGAUCAGUAGCCGGACUGAGAGGUUGACCGGCCACAUUGGAACUGAGAUACGGUCCAG